AAUGGAAGAUGGCAAUCUAAGAACGCCACCUCCUAUGGCAACGAUUGCAUGACCAACGUCCUGUUGG
rnacentral:sRNA from 1 species